UAUAAUGAAAUGAUGAAGAAAAUUCUAAGAAAUCAAGUGUUGCUCACAUUGCGUUUAUGUAAUUACCAUCUCAUUUAUGUGGGUUUGUAAUUUGUAAAUAUUUAUUUGGGAAGUAAUACGGUUAAGAAUAGGGAGACAAAUAUAAGUACUAGUAGGUUAUGCAUUUUUUUUUUUAAAAAAAAAAAGGAAAAAGCAAAAGGGUCAAAAAUCCCAAUUACAAAAUUCAAAAAAUUCUAUGUUUGUAAACUAAUACCUAUUCAAACUCUAUGCUCUCUUAAAUCAUUACUCUAUUAGUAAAUAGUAACUUUAUAGUGACAUUUUCAAAUCUCAAACAUAAGAAAGAGAAGUAAUAAACAAAGAAAAUUAGAUUUUUUUUAUUAUUAGCUUGAUCAUGAUGAUUGUCAUUUCCACUACUUAUUUUAAUAGUUUUUUUUUAAUGUUACUAUAAGUGUUUUAAUUACUAGCAAGGAUCGUUGCAAAGUUAACGUGGUCAUUUUAAAUUAGAAGAGUGAGCAUUGGAUGUUGAUAUUAUUUGUGCCCGACUCUUGUUGGUUAUGUUUCAUGGAUCCUAAAACUCACACUUGAGUAAUUGACCUGAUAUUAGAGACACGGUCACAUUGACAUUUCAAGCUUCGAACCGGAAACACUUUUUGGCCGAGUUAAGUGAUGCAAAGUAUAUAGAAGAAGAAAUUGAUGAAGUCAAAGAGCAUUGGGCAAGUGAGACGUUAUCGGUUAUUCAAACUUACCGACGUUAGUUGUUUUUUGUUUUAAUAGACCAAUGGACAAGUGAGAUGUUAUCAGUUAUUUAAACUUACUGACGUUAGUUAUUUUUUGUUUUAAUAGACCAAUAAUUAUUAUAUAAUUUUAUAGUUAUGGAUUUAUUGGUAUAAUGAAUUAAUAUGUAAUAUUUAUUAGUUUUGUUGAUGUGAA